GAUGAACGCUGGCGGCGUGCCUAAUACAUGCAAGUCGAGCGAACAGACGAGGAGCUUGCUCCUCUGACGUUAGCGGCGGACGGGUGAGUAACACGUGGAUAACCUACCUAUAAGACUGGGAUCACUUCGGGAAACCGGAGCUAAUACCGGAUAAUAUAUUGAACCGCAUGGUUCAAUAGUGAAAGACGGUUUUGCUGUCACUUCUAGAUGGAUCCGCGCCGCAUUAGCUAGUUGGUAAGGUAACGGCUUACCAAGGCGACGAUGCGUAGCCGAACUGAGAGGGUGAUCGGCCACACUGGAACUGGGACACGGUCCAGGCUCCUACGGGAGGCAGCAGUAGGGAAUCUUCCGCAAUGGGCGAAAGCCUGGCGGAGCAACGCCGCGUGAGUGAUGAAGGUCUUCGGAUCGUAAAACUCUGUUAUUAGGGAAGAACAAAUGUGUAAGUAACUAUGCACGUCUUGACGGUACCUAAUCAGAAAGCCACGGCUAACUACGUG
rnacentral:rRNA from 1 species